ensembl:lincRNA
CGCCGCGCCCGACCCGUCCCGGCCGGCGCCGCUGUCCGCCACCCCCACUGCGUUCGGCCGCUCGUGACGCGUCCAGUCCCUUCCGCCAAAUAUCGCGAGAUUUCCCUCCGUGGAACGCGCGCUACCACGGAGGGCUCGCUUUUUGUCACAGCACACGUAUCAACAGAAAGGUAGGAAACGCCUCUUCCAGUCAGACGCCGGCCAAUCCUAAACUCCGUUCACCAGGGCCUCGCCCAGAACCGAAGACGGGCCAGUCUCUGAGGCUCGAGAAGGAAAACGCUGAGCAGUGGCCGAGUGAUCUUCGCAGGAGCGUAAUGAGUUUACAAUAAGAUUUGUUGAGUUAUGCUUUAGGUUUAUUCACUUAUGCUUUAGGUUAGGACUUAAUCUAACUAUUAGGCCAGAACGUUUAAAGGGGUCACGCGCAUGAUAAACGGAGUUGCCAUUUCUUUGGUCCCAGCCGGACUACAAGUCCCAGCGUGCACCGCUCUCAGGACGACUAGCGAGAAUCAGCCAGCGCGAUCUCGAAACCUUCGCUGGCGGCGCACGGCUUACCAAUCUAUGUUGAUAUCCUCACAAGGCCUCUGCCACAGGAGCACCAAGACGAACUUUAGUCCUCACUGCCAGCACCCAGAAGAAGGAGGAAGUUAGGAGUAAGAGAAGUCCCUGCUGCCAUAACUAAAAUCAAAAGAGGCCGAGCAUGGUGUUGGGCUUUCACUUAAGCGUUCUCAACUCAUUGUCUCACAAAAAUAAUAUGAAGAUUUUAUGCAAUGAACACAUUGGUUACUCGAGAAACCUCCAUAUGCUUCCAACAACUUUGGCUGUAACAAAGCUCACUAGGAAUAAUAUAUCUUAAAUAGAUAUUUGAGUAAUAAGGUAGGAUCCUAAGCAUCAUUUAUAAUAUUGUUAUAGAAAAAUUAAUUUUUUCCAACACCUCUACAAUUUAAAAAUUGCCACUAAAUUUCCUUGGUGCACACACACAUGCCCAGCCGUAAGUUUCUCCGUCCAUGAACAUUUAAAGGAGAAUUAUUCAUUAAAGCUUCUGCUCAUGAAACAUUACCACUUCACCAUAAUAGAUAUUUAAUAUUAUUUAAGCUUCAAUAACCUUUUAUUUUUUUAUUUUAUUUUUUUUUUUUGGUUUUUUUUUUUUUUUUUGGUUUUUCUCCGGUACUGGGAACCGAACUCACGACCUUGCGCUUGCCAGGCAGGCGCUUUUGCCCCUGAGCUAAAUCCCCAGCCCCUUCCAAUAACCUUUUAAAGGUAAUCUGAUAAUAUCUUUAUGACAUCACAAAUGAAGAAAUCUAAACUCAAAGAGAUUAAAUAAUUUGCCCAAGAUCACAUUAAAUCUGUCAUAUUACACCCAAGGAUUUUGAACUCAAGUGUCUCAGGCCACGAAACCUCCUGAAUCUUAAAGAUAUUCCCGCCCACAUGUCUUCUGGCUAGAAAGGUGAGAAGAGACAGAGGGGAUGAAUUGAAUUCUCUGAUUUGGGUCUCACUGAUUCUCUGGUAGGAAGCACCAUCUUUCCCUCUCCCUCCUCACAAAGGAGUGAAGCUUGCUUUUCCUCACCCACCUGAAACUAGAGCCUAGCUUCUGUGAAAAGGUGAAAUAAAUUACACAUGCAGAAAGCUAUCUGAUACUCAGGUAGAUAUUUACCACUUGAUUAAAAGCAAAUAUUUCUAGGAAAGUUUUUAAAUGACCACUAGUCCCACACAUUGGUUGUAGCUUUAAUCAGAUUGUGGCUCUUAGACCUAUUGGAAUUUUAUUUCAAGAGAAGUAGUAGUCCCUAAAUGCACUUUUGGAAGAGAAAGGAGAAGGCUACAUGAAAGAAUGCAGCAGGAAGUUUUCUUCAGCUUGAAGCAAGUUGAGAACAGUGGACUCUGGGACAGGAAUGAAGACCAGAAGACCAUAAUUCGAGAAACCAUUGGAGCUAGCCACUGUCCCAUAACUAAAGAUGAGCAAGGAUAGUGAAGGUGAGUUAAUGAACAGAAACUUGGGAGAUGUCUCUGGAGCUUAGAAAAGAACACUAGAAUGAUAUAUUCUGCCAGCAACAAAAAAGUGUUUGCAGGGGAAAAUAUUUUUAUACCCAGUUAGUUAGCUGUACACAAAGCCUACCAGGAAUUACGCUUGCAUGUACUCAUGUAUGCACUGUGGAGUGCCAAUGAGACAGAACAUUAAAGUUUCCAGUAAAAGAAGCAGCCAACAACAUAACGAAUGCCCUUAAAGCAAAAUUUGUCGAAGUACGAGUCACUUAAGUGGUUCCUUUCCUUUUGUGACUAUAAGCCAAUGCUACUUCUGCAUUAGGAUCAAAAAUAAAGUAGGUCACACUGUCCACCAAUAUCUGACUGACUAACAAUUAGGACAGGGAAGUAGUCCAAUGGUGGAGUGCUUGUGUAGUAUACUCAAGACUCUGAAUCCUGUCUUCAGCAUUAAAAAGAAAAAUAUUUUUGAAUAAACAUACACAUUUUGUCAGAUAGCCUACUUAGAGAAGGAAUAAUUCAGAAAAAGUAAUGGCAACUACUCAAAGAUUUUGGUAAGGCUUAGUGUGGCUUUGCCUUCCUCUCCCAGAAGUAGUCCCUGAAAGGUACAAAUCGCAAGUAUUUUGAGAAAUGACCCAAAUUUGGAGAGGUGUGGACAGAGAAUGUGUAUUUAUUUGUCUGUCUUCAGCCUGUAGGAAAUGGAAAGAGUUGCUAAAGAGAGAUGGACGAAAAGAGAAGUUAACAAGCAUGGCCUGCAGGGCCAUUCAGUGACGGUGCCCAGCCCGAGGGCCCAGGUUGAACUAGGCGAGUGCUCAGAGUCCUGUAGGGAACCUAUGUGCCUGUCAAAUGUCAGCCUGUUAAAAGUAAAUUACACCUGCCUGGCAAGCACAAGGUCAUGAGUUUGAUUCCCGGUACCAGAAAAAAAAAAACAACAAAAAAGUAGAUUACAGAAAUUCUAUAGUAUCCUCAAACCAGUACACGGACAACAAGUCCAAAGUAUGGAUUUCAGUUAGAUAUCAUGGACACAUUGAUAAGAAAUGACAGUGAUGCUAUCAUUAACAUAAUAUUAAAUGUUUAGGAAACUAAGUACAAUUCUAAGCAUUUUAUAUUAAUUUGUUUAAUCAUUAUACCAACCCCAAGAAAUGGAAAGUAUGAUUUCCCUCAAUGUACAAUUAAGGAAACUGAGGCACAAAAUAGUAAAUUAACUUACCCACAGUCACACAGUAAGAGGUCAGAGGGUUCUUAACCAUACUUGCUCUGUACUUGAGAAAUAAAGGGAGGAAAGAAUAAAAAGUGGGAGGAAGGAAAAUGAAAACCUAGUCAGCAAAAUCCGGAAAAAAAGAAAACCUAACUGCCUUAAAAGACAAUUUCCUCUGCAGUAACACCAUUUCAAUUAAACAAAACCUGAAAGGUCCAUUGUUGAAUUCCUACCCUCUUGUUUAGUGAAGCUCUGUACCCUUUCUAAUUAUUUUUUAAAUUAUUUUUCCUUUUAAUUGUUUGAUCAAUCAUGCAUUCUUACAUCUGGUAAUCUGAGCAACUUCUUUGAAGAUAACAAUAUGUAAUAUAAUUAAUUUCCUAUCUUGUUUUGAAAUUCUGUACCGUUUUUAUUGUGUACUGAUAAAAUGAAAUAAAUGUCAGAAAGAUAUUUAAAUAUCACAAAAGGCAUGACAACAUCAAAUUUCUGAUGUAAAGAAAAACAAAACUACAGGCUAAAAAACAUAAGCAAAUGAAGUGGAAAAUUGUAAAAAGUAACGAUACAUAUAUACGUUGUUAAUUUUAUUUAUUUAUUUUUAUUUUUUUGAUUUUUCUCCGUUACCUUAAACCGAACUCACAACCUUGCGCUUGCCAGGCAGGCGCUUUGCCGCUGAGCUAAAUCCCCAGCCCCACGUUGUUAAUUUUAAAACAAUUCUCUGUUUUACAAAUGGAGAAGGGCAGAGUAGUUCCCAGAAAAAAAAUGAAAUUGUUAGAAUUUAAAUGUUAAUUUUAAUUUUUCUUUUCUUUCUUUUGUACUAGGAAUCAAACUCGGGACCUCACAAUUGCCAGGCAGGCACUGUGCUGUUGAACUAUUUUCCUGGUCUGUUAAUUUUAAUUUUUAAGUGUAUAUUUAUUAUUAAAAAUCAGAAAAUAGAGGAGGCAAAAAAGAGAUAAAUACAACACAAAUCUCACUACUCAGAAGUAACCACUGAGGUCAAAUGUGGUAGCACAUGCCUAUAUGCUGGCAUUUGAGAAACCAAAACUGGAGGUUUGCAAGUGGGAGUCUCACCUGAGCAAAACCCUACCUCAAAAUAAAGUGGGCAGAGAUGUCACCCCGUGUGAAGGCCCUGGGUUCAGUCCCUCAUAACACCCCGCAAAAAAGAUAACCAUUAUCAAUAGGCUUUUAUAUGUAUUUUAUAUACAUUUUUACCAAAAGGGGGAAUUAUAUAGAUUAUGGUAUAAUCUGUUCUUUCUUUCUUUUUUGUUUUAGUAUUGAUGUAGUACUGGAUACUGAACCCAGGGAGCAUUGAGUUACAGCUCAGUGCUUUUUAUUGGCUGUUUUUGUGUAUUUUGAGACAGAGUCUUAUAAAGUUCUCUGAACUGGAUUUGAAUUUGCAAUCCACCUGACUCAGCCUCCCGAGCAGCUGGGAUUACAGGUGUGUGUUAUCAUGCCUGGCUAUAACUUUUUUUUUACAUUUUUCUUCUAAAAUACUUUAAAAAAUUUUAAUGUAACAUGUUAUGUUUGUGUCUAGAUAUUCCCCCCAAACCUCAUGUAAUCAUAGGGGGCUUUUCAAAGGUGUCUGGGUCUAGAAUGUGUGGUGCUGGGAUCAAAUAUUUGUGGUUACUGAAUUAGUCCACUGAUUGGUUUGACCUAGUUCUUGCUAGGGUUAAGGGUGUCAGUGUUGUACCCAUCCUAGGGCAGGUAGCCUGCCUCCCUGCUGUGGACUGUUUCUCCUCUGCAGUGCCCCUCUGCCGUGCCACCCUGCUCGGGAGACAGCCAGUUAUGGACUGAAACCUCUACAGAUGUGAGCCAAAUAAACCUUUCCUCCU